AGAAACAGGGCAACUGUUGACCAUUUUGUUCACAUGAAAAAUAUCUCUAUGUGAUAAGUGAGGGAGGGAAUUAAGAAUUAUCUUCACUUAUUGUUAACAGGAACUGGGAACUGAACUGACACAACUGACUGAAAGAUUAUUUCCUCUCCAUUUUUCUCUCUAUUAAGAACUGCUUCUAACAGACUGCCACGUGUGAGAUUAACUAGCACUAACUACCUCCGAAGAAGAGGAGUCUGAAGAUAAAUUAAAAAAAAAAGAAAAGACUGAAGUGCUGCUCUCCCCCAAAUUUGGGACCAGACCUACCUAAGUCUAAAGUAAUGGUUGUGUGCAUAUAUGAACUGAGCACCAGAUAGCAGCCUUAGACAUCUGUGAUACAUGUCUGAGACAUGCUGGUGAUGAUCAUUUAGACCUGUUGGAGAGUACCCUAUAUAAGAUCCAAAGCGGAGAAGAAGGAGGGCAGGUACUGGAAUAGAGAUAGGGAUCACACAUCUUCACGGACCUUCAGUUAAAGGCAGAAAGCCAAAGCUCGAGGGAGUGGAGUCUUCAUUCUUCUGCAGAAGUGUGUGGCUUUGAGAAGAAAGCAGGACCAGGUGUGUAUAUCCCCAGCGAUCAGAGGGCAGCACUAAUCCUUCCGGGUAUGGAGGGACUCAUCUGUCUUCUGGUUGAAGAGGUGCUAUUCACCUUGCUGUGAUGUGAGCUUCCCCAAGGCCGUACAGGCAGCAUUGGUGGCUGUCACCGACAGAGAAGGAUCAUGGGCAGGAAGAACAGAGUUUGAAGCCUGGGUCCUGGAUGUAAUACCCAAACAGGGUACAGGGUGAGAUUUGAAAGUCAGACAAGAGUUACACUUUUGGGAGAUAUGGGACUCUCCCAAGCAACCGAUAUACCUAGAAUGGUCAUCGCUGACAGGAAUAGCCUCCCGACAAGAAUGACAGCAUUUGAAACCGGGUGAGCCAGACAUGUCCAGCCAGAUCAAAUAAGCUCCACAGAAAAAAGGAGGAAAAAAGGGAGAGAAAAAAAACAAAAUCUCUCACUACUAUCUAACUAAUCCUAUACUAACAACAGCUAAUGCUAACCAGAAACACUAAACUAAGAACAACAGUAUUCCAUGUAGUUGUAGCCGUGUCGUUCAUGUAGAACAUGCUGAGGUGGACAUGCUAGAACUCAGUCGCAGGCUGAGGUGGUAGAGAAGAACUCAGACAUUUCACCACUGCAGCUCUAUGCACCAUCUGUGUGUGACACGAGGUCGUACCAAGUGCACACAUGGACCAAAGAGACACUGCUAAUAGGAAAUCUCCAGUCAAGGGCUCAAGAGGUUCAUACUCGAAGAACUGGAUUUACUUCAACAGGCAGAAAUCUUGCUCCUACAACGAUCAGUCGUUUCAGUACGUCACCAGUCCAAAACAAGCUGGGAUACUUAGGUGCAAGGAAUCUGAGACAGCAUGGAUAUGUUAAAACUAGUACAGCCAGACCACCUCAUACUUAUUGUACUAUGAAAAUUCAAUGAAGC